UUGUCAUUGUUGUGCUUCGAUGGAGAUGUUCUAUAUCGCGCUUUUUGAUUCACUACUGCGUCGAUGGACAUGCGCCAUUUGAUAUUUUUGAGCGAUAUUGAGUUAGAGUACAACAGGCGUCAACCACCACUUUCUUUCUGGCAACUCUUCAAAGGAUACACAAGUCUAUACUUCAAAACUGGUUGUCGAAAAAGGCAAUAAGAGAAAGGAAGAUGAAGGGAAGUAUAUGGCAGAAGAGAGAGAUACGGACGAUUGGACGGCCGGGAGUAUCACCGGCAGCUGUACGUUGACGGGGUAACGAAGCACAAAUCCUGCGCAUCGCUGCUCGUCCGCAUUCAGGAUUCAAGGUUAAUGUCAUAUAAUACAGUCAUUGAAAUCCA